CAGGGAAGACACAGCGCCGCCGGCCGUGGGGGACGGACGCACUGAUUUGCUCCCCUACCCUCAGCAGCCCCCCCACCCAGCACCAGGUGGGUGUGAGCUGGGGUCUCCGCCGCACAGGAGGGAACCGUGCUAACAGGGAGCCUGUCCCUCCCACAUCCUCAACUGGCUGAGCCGCAGUAGUUCUUCAGUGGCAAGCUUUAUGUCCUGACCCAGCUAAAGCUGCCAGUUGAAGAACUGUUGCCCUCUGCCCCUGGCUUCAAGGAGGAGGAGGAAGAGGAGAAGGAGCUGCUUUCCCCCUCAUCUGGAAGGUGACGGAACUGGGGCUGGGAAGGUCAGAACAGCGGGAGUGGUGAUGCCUUUUGGAAAAGGGAACCUUGUUCAGUUGGAGACCCUUCAGCCAGAUUGGCCCAGCAAGAGAGAACAGUUGUAGAUUAGAGACCCUCGUUGGGCUGGGGACUAGAUGGCUGUGACUACCCAAGGUUAGUUGGUCUACAUCAGUGUGUGACAAAGGGAAGACAAUGGGAGCAAAGAAAACUGGCAACACCUUUACUCAGAUGUCUUUCUUGACCCUCCUUCCUGUCUCCCUUUCUUUCCUACUGCCUUUCCAGGUGAGGUCCAAAGUAAAUUUCAUCUUCAGGGAAGAGGUCAUACUGAAACUCCCAUCUGAGUAGUCAACUCCAUGCUCUUAGCUUUCCCUGUAUUUUCUCAGACUGGCCUAGACUCCAGUUACAGGGAUAAAUCACCUAUAUGUGGGACCCUUGGGCCUCUUGUCUCAGCUUCAACACCUGUGAGAUGCAGAAUCAUACAGUUGAAUGUGCAGGAGGGAAUCAGAAGCCUACUGUGCAGACUCAGAGCCUGGGCUCUCUUCUCCCUGUGGGUGGGAACAAAACAGCUUUUCAUAUAAGCUGUUGCCCCUCCCCCCAUCCCUAACCAACACAACCCCAGGAGCUGGGGGUGGGGGGGAGGAUUAGAGGGAGGGGGCUAGAGUUAGACCAGGGCUAGGGGCUGGAGGAGCUCAGUCUCUACAUUGACUUCCCACCAUACAAAGGUGGCCCCAGGUUUCCUCUGCCACCCAAAACAGAACUGCAGCCCCUGAUGGGGUUCCAACUGCUGUUCCUGUUUCUUCUCUCACUUUACCUUCCAGGAUAAUUUGUGAGACUCAGCUCAGGCUUACGAGGCAGGAAAUUCUCUCCAGUAACCAGGCGAGAUGGGUUGUGGGAUAUGACCCCCUCUGGGGAAUCAAGCUGUGUAAACCUAGCACCCCUGGCUCCUGAUGCCAUGUAACUCUUGGGGCUCAGGCUCUGGUGUGGUUCAACCGUGGCCCAGCCUCCCUGCCUGAAGGUGGCCAAAUUCAGGGGCUGCAGAAAGCUGUCCCGCUGUGGGGCACAAGAUGUACAGGUAGCUGGGUCCUUUUCUCCACUUAUGAGAGAGAUUUAGGGGAGAGUAGAUCAUUGAACCCACCCUUCUGCAGCCUAGGCUGGAUGUGUGUGGGACUGUGGUGGAGGGGGUGGGUAGACUGGGUCCACUCAUAGGCUGCAACAAAGAUUGUUCUGUCCCUGGACAUUGCUUCCGUCCUUUCUUCCCCUCUCCGCUUCACUGGCCGCAGUGUCUCCCUCCAGCCCUGGGUAUGUGGCUCUGCCAUCCUCACCCGUCAUGGAGCAGAGAUGAGGAAGAGCAGCCUGGGAACACAGAGGCAGGCAGAAGACCAGUGAAGGACCAGGCCCGGAGAGCACAGGGCCCUGUCUGGGCACCCCGCAGAGGGGACCCAUAAAGGCCAGGAGCACCCGAGGAGGAGGGAGGACGGCCAGCCUCCAUCAAGAACAAGCUCCCGGCCACUGGCUUCAUUCACUAUUUCUCUCCAGUGUCACUACCUCCCUGAGAUAUGAGACUGUGUUAAAAUGUCCUGUUGCUUCAUCCUCCUACUUCUACUCCCUACCCUAUAGAGUGAUAUAAAGAAGCAGCCUCAAGGAGCAAGAACCAGCUGUGAAAGGACAUAUGUAGGGAAUUCAUAGAAGAAAUUCAAAUGGAUAAAACCAUGAAAAACAAUGUGUGCUUCAUUAGUAAUUAAAGAAAGACAAGCAUAGCUGAAAGCAUUUUUCCCUCGGCAAACUAUAUUUAAAAAAAUAAAAAAAAGAAGACCCAGUAUCGGCAAAGGAGCACUAAAAUAACACUCCCAUACCUUGCAUAUGGGGGUGCGAAUUGGUAUAGCCUUCCUGGAUGUCAGUUUGGUAGUAUGUGUCAAACGCUCUAAAAGUGUCCAUCACCUUUGACCUAGUGAUUCUACACUUGGGAAUUUAUCCUAAGAAAAUAAUUAAAGAUUCAGUUACAAGAUGCUCACCCCAGCAUUGCAAUAGAAAAAAUGAGAAGCAGUUGUCUGAUUGGGAAUUCACUUCUUCUUUGCUGUAAUGAAAAUUUGCAAUGGGGGAUUGCUUAAGUAAAUCAUUGUAUAUCCAUCCAGAUGGUGGAGUACUGCACAGCCAUUAGAAGUCAUGUAGAAGAACAUUUGACUGGAAAGAAAAAUGCUCUUUGAAUAUUAAAAAGGUUAUGAAAAUAGUGUGUAUUAUGUGAUCUCAAUUUUUUUUAAUAUGGGUAUAUUCUUGUAUACAUAAAACAGAUAAAGACUAAGGACAUAACUCUUAAAUGUUGAUGAUAGUGAUUAUCUUUGGAUGGUGGAACAAAAUCAUUGUGAUUUUCCUCUUUGGCUUUUCUAUUUUAAAAUUUUCUACAUUGUGUAUGGUUCUCACAUAAUAAAAUUUAAAAGAAUCGG